rnacentral:rRNA from 1 species
UGCGUAGGCGGUUUAAUAAGUCAGAUGUGAAAGCCCGGAGCUCAACUCCGGGACUGCAUUUGAAACUGUUUAACUAGAAUACAGGAGAGGUAAGUGGAAUUCCUAGUGUAGCGGUGAAAUGCGUAGAUAUUAGGAGGAACACCAGUGGCGAAGGCAACUUACUGGACUGUUAUUGACGCUGAGGCACGAAAGCGUGGGGAGCAAACAGGAUUAGAUACCCUGGUAGUCC